GUGCCUGUAGCUCAGCUGGAUAGAGCGUUGGCCUCCGGAGCCAAAGGCCGUGGGUUCGAAUCCCGCCAGGCAUACCA
rnacentral:tRNA from 2 species